UAGGGGAGAGCACGGUGCGGAUCGGUGCGGUUUUAGGGUAAAACCGCAACCGGAACCGCAAGUGUUCGGUUUUUAAAAUUGAAAACCGCAACCGCAACCGAACCGUCGGAUCGGUUUCGGUUUCAAAAAACCUCGGUUCGGUUUCAAACGGUUCGGUUUCGGUUUUAGAACCGCAAUAAAUAAAAAUAAGAAACAUACUUUCAAAUUAAAUUAGUAGAUAACUUAUGUUGGUUCGAUAUAUACUUCAAAUUUAAUAACGAACCACAUUAUUAUAUUAUCGGAUUUAAACAAGAUCAUAUUACAAAUGAAACUUAUAUAUUAUGUGGGGAUCAUGAUGGAAGUAGAUUAGCGACUCAAUUGUAGUGAUACUAAAAGAAAGUGCUCGGUGGAAGAACUAGUUCGGAUAAAAGAAUUUUAACGAAACAACCUCAGCACAUUUCAACCCCACUUCCUAGUAACCUCCCCCGUCUCCAUUUUACUUUGUUCAUCACAUUUAUAUGUUAUAUAUAAAUAUUUAUAUAAAUUAUGUGUAAUAUACAUAUAUAUAAAUAUAGAUAAUAUUUAUUUUAAUAAUCGGUUCGGUUCG
rnacentral:lncRNA from 1 species